rnacentral:lncRNA from 1 species
GUCACAAACUUAGGGUUUAGAGUUAAAGGGUGAGGUUUAGGAUUUAGAGUUUAGAGUUUAGGGUUUAGGGUUUAGAGUUUAGGGUUUAGGGUUUAGAGUUUAGGGUUUAGAGUUUAGGGUUUAGGGUUUAAGUUUAGGGUUUAGGGUUUAGAGGGUUUAGGGUUUAGAGUUUAGGGUUUAGAGUUUAGGGUUUAGGGUUUAGAGUUUAGGGUUUAGAGUUUAGGGUUUAGGGUUUAGAGUUGAAAAAUGAGGUUUUGGG